rnacentral:rRNA from 1 species
CCCGCAUGCUACCUGAUCCGAGGUCAAAUUUUCAAAAGUUGGGGGUUUAACGGCAGGGCACCGCCAGGGCCUUCCAGAGCGAGGGUUUAACUACUGCGCUCGGGGUCCUGGCGAGCUCGCCACUAGAUUUCAGGGCCUGCUUCGUUAAAAGCAGUGCCCCAACACCAAGCAAUGCUUGAGGGUUGAAAUGACGCUCGAACAGGCAUGCCCUCCGGAAUACCAGAGGGCGCAAUGUGCGUUCAAAGAUUCGAUGAUUCACUGAAUUCUGCAAUUCACAUUACUUAUCGCAUUUCGCUGCGUUCUUCAUCGAUGCCAGAACCAAGAGAUCCGUUGUUGAAAGUUUUGAUUCAUUUGUGUUUUUUCUCAGAGUUUCAGUGUAAAAACAGAGUUGACUUGGCCGCCGGCGUGCCGUCUCCUCACCGAAGUGAGGGGCCUACUAGAGACCAGCAUGCGCCGAGGCAACAAAAGGUAUAAGUUCACAAAGGGUUUCUGGGUGCGCCUGGGGCGCGUUCCAGCAAUGAUCCCACCGCAGGUUACCCCUACGGGAA